AUCGGCAGGACGAGAAAUAAUGGACACACACAAGAUAGUGAAAGCUGGGUCCAGGGGGGUCACCGCCUUCUGGUCCUGUGAUGCCGCCAAUGCACUGGUUAUUGUAUCACAAAUAAUGGGUUCACCAAUGAAGAACAUGUUCAAAGGUUUCAAGAUGCAGCCUCCCUCUCUAUGCAUCUUCCUCCACUUAAUCUCUAUUCCACCUCUGGGCCAUCACUUUGAAAUACA